UAUACUGUAUCUUUAAACGAAUGCUCACCUUGUUCAGAGCCCAGGUACUCUGCUCUGAGUGUAUUAGCGUGAGUGUCAAUAAGGGAGACACCUUCUCUCUUUGGAGCAGAUUCGAUGAAGAUCAAAAGGGACUUAGAUAAAAAAUAAAAUUUAUUCCGCCAGCAGGCAAAAAAAAUACAAACAAAUGAUAAAAAGAAAUCACAAUAAAGUAAGAAGUGUC